rnacentral:rRNA from 1 species
CCUACGGGUGGCAGCAGUGAGGAAUAUUGGUCAAUGGUCGGAAGACUGAACCAGCCAAGCCGCGUGAGGGAGGAAGGUACAGCGUAUCGUAAACCUCUUUUGUCAGGGAACAAAGACUGGGACGCGUCCCCGGAUGAGGGUACCUGAAGAAAAAGCAUCGGCUAACUCCGUGCCAGCAGCCGCGGUAAUACGGAGGAUGCGAGCGUUAUCCGGAUUUAUUGGGUUUAAAGGGUGCGCAGGCGGGCUGUUAAGUCAGCGGUCAAAUACGGGGGCUCAACCUCGGCCCGCCGUUGAAACUGGCAGUCUCGAGUGGGAGAGAAGUAUGCGGAAUGCGUGGUGUAGCGGUGAAAUGCAUAGAUAUCGCGCAGAACUCCGAUUGCGAAGGCAGCAUGCCGGCGCCACACUGACGCUGAGGCACGAAAGCGUGGGUAUCGAACAGGAUUAGAUACCCUAGUAGUC